GGAUAAGGAAAGUAAAGAAGGGCGCAUGGCGGAUGCCUUGGCUCUCGGAGGCGAUGAAGGACGUGAUAAGCUGCGAUAAGCUUUGGGGAGGUGCAAAUGACCUUUGAUCCAGAGAUUUCCGAAUGGGACAACCCAAUAUCUUGAAGAGGUAUUAUCCAACGUUGUUGGAGGCUAACGCAGGGAACUGAAACAUCUUAGUACCUGCAGGAAAAGAAAAUAAACAAUGAUUCCCCCAGUAGUGGCGAGCGAACGGGGAACAGCCCAAACCAUCCAUGUUACGGCAUGGGUGGGGUUGUAGGACUACGCCGUUGCAUGAAGACAUCAGAGAAGAACUUUCUGGAAAGAAAGACCAUAGAGCAUGACAGUUGCGUAUUCGAAUGUUGUCGAAGCAUAGUAGUAUCCUGAGUAGCGCGGAGCACGAGGAAUUCUGCGUGAAUCUGCCGGGACCAUCCGGUAAGGCUAAAUACUCCCGAGAGACCGAUAGCGAACCAGUACCGUGAGGGAAAGGUGAAAAGCACUUCGAACAGAAGAGUGAAAUAGUUCCUGAAACCGUGCGCCUACAAGCGGUCGGAGCUCGUUAAUGAGUGACGGCGUGCCUUUUGCAUAAUGAACCUACGAGUUGCCUUUGCCGGCAAGGUUAAGUGUGACGACACACGUAUCCGAAGCGAAAGCGAGUCUGAACAGGGCGUAUAGUCGGCAGUGGCAGACGCGAAACCAAGUGAUCUACCCUUGGCCAGGUUGAAGGCUGGGUAACACCAGCUGGAGGACCGCACCAAUAAGCGUUGAAAAGCUUCUGGAUGAGCUGAGGGUAGGGGUGAAAGGCUAAUCAAACUUGGAGAUAGCUCGUACUCCCCGAAAUGCAUUUAGGUGCAGCCUUGCGGGUUACUGAUGUGAGGUAGAGCGACUGAUAAGAUGCGAGGGCUUCACCGCCUAUCAAGUCUUGACAAACUCCGAAUGCGCAUCAGUUCUACCGCAGGAGUGAGGGCAUGGGUGCUAAGGUCCGUGCCCGAGAGGAGAAGAAUCCGGACCACCUGCUAAGGUCCCGAAAUGACAGCUAAGUUAAACUAACGAAGUCUGACUGCUAAGACAGCUAGGAUGUUGGCUUGGAAGCAGCCAUUCAUUUAAAGAGUGCGUAACAGCUCACUAGUCGAGGAGUCGGGCGUGGAUAAUAAUCGGGUAUUAAGUUGUCUACCGAAGCAGUGGGAUCAUUAAUAUGAUCGGUAGGGGAGCAUUCCAGUCGGCGUCGAAGGCGUACCGUGAGGUAUUCUGGAGCGUCUGGAAAAGCAAAUGUAGGUAUAAGUAACGAUAAAGGGGGCGGGAAACCCCCUCGCCGAAAGACUAAGGUUUCCUGAUCAACGCUAAUCGGAUCAGGGUCAGUCGGGUCCUAAGGCUCAGCCGAACGGCGAUGCCGAUGGCAGAAACGGUUAAUAUUCCGUUACUACCUUCAGGAGUGACGUGGAGACGCAGUAGUGACAGUGCCGCCAUCUGACGGAAUAGAUGGUUGAAGGGUGUAGGAGUCGAUCAUGGCAGGCAAAUCCACCAUGAGAUCCGAACCUGAUAGUAUGCCGCGUCCUUCGGGACAAGGCAAUAGUGCGCGUAAGCAUGCUGCCGAGAAAAUCCGCUAAACUUAAUCCUGCAGGUACCCGUACCGCAAACGGACACACGUAGUCGGGAUGAAUAUUCUAAGGCGCUUGAGUGAUUCACGGUUAAGGAACUAGGCAAACUGACCCUGUAACUUCGGGAUAAAGGGUCCCUACCCUUUUAUGGGAGGGCGCAGAGAAUCGGUCCAGGCAACUGUUUAACAAAAACACAGGGCUGUGCCAAAUCGAAAGAUCCAGUAUACAGCCUGACACCUGCCCGGUGCUGGAAGGUUAAGAGGAGAUGUCAUCGAUAAGAGAAGCGUUGAAUUGAAGCCCCAGUAAACGGCGGCCGUAACUAUAACGGUCCUAAGGUAGCGAAAUUCCUUGUCGGGUAAGUUCCGACCUGCACGAAUGGUGUAAUGAUCUGGACGCUGUCUCAACCGUGAGCUCAGUGAAAUUGUAGUAUCGGUGAAGAUGCCGAUUACCCGCGAUGGGACGAAAAGACCCCGUGAACCUUUACUAUAGCUUAUCAUUGAAUCUGGGCACGUGAUGUGUAGGAUAGGUCGGAGGCUUUGAAGCAGGUACGCCAGUAUUUGUGGAGCCGCUGUUGAAAUACGACCCUUUAUUUGUUUGGAUUCUAACCCGUGGANCGGGGACAUUGAUUGGUGGGUAGUUUGACUGGGGUGGUCGCCUCCAAAAGCGUAACGGAGGCUUCUAAAGGUGCCCUCCGGCCGAUUGGUAACCGGCCUUAGAGUGUAAUGGCAUAAGGGCGCUUGACUGGGAGACUAACAAGUCGAUCAGGUAGGAAACUAGAGCAUAGUGAUCCGGUGUUUCCGUAUGGAAGGGACAUCGCUCAAAGGAUAAAAGGUACUCCGGGGAUAACAGGCUGAUCCCUCCCAAGAGCUCAUAUCGACGGAGUGGUUUGGCACCUCGAUGUCGGCUCGUCACAUCCUGGGGCUGGAGAAGGUCCCAAGGGUUGGGCUGUUCGCCCAUUAAAGUGGCACGCGAGCUGGGUUCAGAACGUCGUGAGACAGUUCGGUCUCUAUCUAUCGUGGGCGUAUGAAAUUUGCGUGGCUCUGACACUAGUACGAGAGGACCGUGUUGGACAGACCUCUGGUUUGCCGGUUGUGCCGCCAGGUGCAUUGCCGGGUAUCUAAGUCUGGAUCGGAUAAGUGCUGAAAGCAUCUAAGUACGAAGCCGGCCACAAGAUUAGAUUUCUCAGGGUCGUUGUAGACUACGACGUUGAUAGGAUGCAGGUGUAAAG
rnacentral:rRNA from 1 species